GACCAAGGGUUCCUGUCCAACGUUAAUCGGGGCAGGGUGAGUCGACCCCUAAGGCGAGGCCGAAAGGCGUAGUCGAUGGGAAACAGGUUAAUAUUCCUGUACUUGGUGUUACUGCGAAGGGGGGACGGAGAAGGCUAUGUUGGCCGGGCGACGGUUGUCCCGGUUUAAGCGUGUAGGCUGGUUUUCCAGGCAAAUCCGGAAAAUCAAGGCUGAGGCGUGAUGACGAGGCACUACGGUGCUGAAGCAACAAAUGCCCUGCUUCCAGGAAAAGCCUCUAAGCAUCAGGUAACAUCAAAUCGUACCCCAAACCGACACAGGUGGUCAGGUAGAGAAUACCAAGGCGCUUGAGAGAACUCGGGUGAAGGAACUAGGCAAAAUGGUGCCGUAACUUCGGGAGAAGGCACGC
rnacentral:rRNA from 1 species